UGAGCUUCACACCUUGGGUCAGAUGUGUGUUGUCAGCUGAGAAACUGAGCUGCAUUCUUGAGCAUGAGCCAGACGCCUUGACAGAUGAGGGCAGGACAAGAUGAAGAAGGAAGAUCUUCAAAAGUGAAAGGUUAAGAAAGACAAGUACACACCCAUACACACACCAGUCCUACCAAGGCAAUGGUGACAGCAGGAAGAGAUGGCUGCUCUUCCUCCAGAGCAGCUGUGAUGCAGACCCACCUGUCACCCAAGAAGGAGAAAAGUGAACAACAGCUUCUGCCCUAGUGGAGCCUGAAUUAACUCAUAAGUCGAAAUCCCCAGAAUCUCUUUGCGCUUUGGUCUGUGCUAUUGUACUUAACACACGCUCAAUAAAGACUUAUUGAUUUGACUUAAUCU
rnacentral:lncRNA from 1 species